GCAAGAUACCACGGGCGCACGGCGGAUGCCUUGGCACAGGGAGCCGAUGAAGGACGCGGCAAGCUGCGAUAAUCCCCGGCGAGGAGCACACAUCCUUCGACCCGGGGGUCUCCGAAUGGGCGAACCCAUCCGUAGCAGUACGGAUAUCCCGACCCCGAACACAUAGGGGCCGGGAGGACAACCCGGGGAACUGAAACAUCUAAGUACCCGGAGGAGAGGAAAUCAAUCUCGAGACUCCCCGAGUAGCGGCGAGCGAAAGGGGACCGAUGGCCAAACCGUCGAGCGGGCAUACCCGGCAGGGGUUCCGCCGACGGGGUUGCAGGGCCGCGCAUCCGGGGGCUGCCGCCCCCGGGCGCAGGUCCGGCUGGGGAGCGGAACGGCAUGGGAGGGCCGGCCGCAGCGGGUGACAGCCCCGUACGCGAACCCAGACCGGACGGCGCGACGCGGUCCCUGAGUAGGGCCGGGCACGUGAAACCCGGUCCGAACCUGGGUGGACCACCAUCCAAGCCUGAGUACUACCCUGUGACCGAUAGCGCACCAGUACCGUGAGGGAAAGGUGAAAAGCACCCCGGGAGGGGAGUGAAACAGUACCUGAAACCGUGCGCCCACGAGCAGUCGGAGCACCCUUGUGGUGUGACGGCGUGCCUUUUGUAGAAUGAGCCAGCGAGUCGCUGGCGCGGGGCGAGGUUAACCGAAAGGGAGCCGGAGCGAAAGCGAGCCUUAACAGGGCGACUUGAGUCCCGCGCCGCGGACGCGAAGCCGGGUGAGCUAUCCGUGGGCAGGCUGAAGCGGGGGUAAGACCCCGUGGAGGGCCGAACGCACGUCGGUUGAAAACGGCGGCGAUGACCUGCGGAUAGGGGUGAAAGGCCAAUCAAACCCGGAGAUAUCUCGUUCUCCCCGAAAUAGCUUUAGGGCUAGCGUCGCGCGUUCACCGCCGGAGGUAGAGCACCGGAUGGACGAGGGGGCUUCGCCGCCUACCGAAUCCAACCGAACUCCGAAUGCCGGCGGCCCAGAGCGCGGCAGUCAGAGCAUGUGGGCUAAGCUGUGUGCUCGAGAGGGAAACAGCCCGGACCGCCCGCUAAGGUCCCCAAGUUCCAGCCGAGUGGCAAAGGAUGUGCGUCCGCCCAGACAACCAGGAUGUUGGCUUAGAAGCAGCCAUCCAUUCAAAGAGUGCGUAACAGCUCACUGGUCGAGUGGACAUGCGCCGACAAUACACGGGGCUAAGCUGGACACCGAAGCGGCGGGAUUUUGAUUUUCAGAAUCGGUAGGGGAGCUUCCCAUGGGCGGUGAAGCCGCCGGGCGACCGGCGGUGGAGCGCAUGGGAGUGAGAAUGCUGGCAUGAGUAGCGAGAGACGAGAGAGUAACUCGUCCGCCGUGAACCCGAGGUUUCCUGGGCAAGGCUAAUCCUCCCAGGGUCAGUCGGGGGCUAAGGCGAGGCCGGGAGGCGUAGCCGACGCGCAGCAGGCAGACAUUCCUGCACCGCGCACGCGGCGCUACGACCGACGGGGCGACGGAUGGGGGUGGCUCGGCGGGGUUCUGGACGUCCCCGUGAUGGAGCGCGGCCCGCGGACCAGGGAAAUCCGGUCCGCAGGAGGGCGAGGCUCCGGACGAAGCGAUCAAGCGAAGCGAGUGAGCCCGAGGUCCCUAGAAAAACCCCUAGGCAGGCGCGUGCGCGCCCGUACCGCAAACCGACACAGGUGGGUGGGUAGAACAUACCGAGGCGAUCGGGUCAACCAUGGUCAAGGAACUCGGCACAAUGGCCCCGUAACUUCGGGAGAAGGGGUGCCCGCGCGUACGUGAACGGACUUGCUCCGGGAGCGGAGGCGGGCCGCAGUGGAGAGGCCCAAGCGACUGUUUACCAAAAACACAGGACUCUGCAGAAGCCGCAAGGCGACGUAUAGGGUCUGACGCCUGCCCGGUGCCGGAAGGUCACGCGGAGGAGUUAGCCGCAAGGCGAAGCCCCGAAGCCAAGCCCCGGUAAACGGCGGCCGUAACUAUAACGGUCCUAAGGUAGCGAAAUUCCUUGUCGGGUAAGUUCCGACCUGC
rnacentral:rRNA from 1 species